GGGGGGGGGGGGGGGGGGGGGGGGGGGGGGGGGGGGGGGGGGGGGGGGGGGGAGGGUGGGUUGCGGAGGUUGGCGGCGGGCGGGGGGGUGACGCGUGGGGAGCCGACCUAUAGGACUGGGAGGACUUCGGGAAACCGGAGCUAAUACCGGAUAAUAUUGUGACCCGCAUGGGUCAAAAGUGAACGACGGUCUUGCUGUCACUUAUAGAGGGAUCCGCGCUGCAUUAGCUAGUUGGUAAGGUAACGGCUUACCAAGGCAACGAUGCAUAGCCGACCUGAGAGGGUGAUCGGCCACACUGGAACUGAGACACGGUCCAGACUCCUACGGGAGGCAGCAGUAGGGAAUCUUCCGCAAUGGGCGAAAGCCUGACGGAGCAACGCCGCGUGAGUGAUGAAGGUCUUCGGAUCGUAAAACUCUGUUAUUAGGGAAGAACAUAUGUGUAAGUAACUGUGCACAUCUUGACGGUACCUAAUCAGAAAGCCACGGCUAACUACGUG
rnacentral:rRNA from 1 species